GCGGACGUGGCGGAAUUGGCAGACGCACCAGCCUUAGGAGCUGGCGCCGCAAGGCGUGGGGGUUCGAGUCCCCCCGUCCGCA
rnacentral:tRNA from 5 species